UACGAAGGGGGGCUAGCGUUGCUCGGAAUUACUGGGCGUAAAGGGCGCGUAGGCGGAUAUUUAGGUCGGGGGUGAAAGCCCGAGGCUCAACCUCGGAACUGCCUUCGAUACUGCGGGUCUCGAGUCCGGGAGAGGUGAGUGGAAUUCCUAGUGUAGAGGUGAAAUUCGUAGAUAUUAGGAAGAACACCAGUGGCGAAGGCGGCUCACUGGCCCGGUACUGACGCUGAGGUGCGAAAGCGUGGGGAGCAAACAGG
rnacentral:rRNA from 1 species